GGAAGAAUGGCCGAGCGGUCUAAGGCGUAGCACCGGAAAUGCUAUGUAGAUUAAUAUCUACCAAGGGUUCAAAUCCCUUUUCUUCCU
rnacentral:tRNA from 1 species